UGAUUCAUUAGGGAGCAGGAGUCGCCCCUGCCUGGAAGAAAGCCUAAUUUGGACAGUUCUUUCCUCGCUAAUUUGGCAAAAGCUAAAACCUUCUGCUUGGAGCUUGAUGACAUCAUAAAGCGCCACAAGAAAGAGCAAACCAAUGCCCAAGCGGCCGGGAACAGGCGGAGGCAGCAGAUCAAGAACAGGAGUUCGGCGUACUGGUAUGGGCGGCCCCGCUUCCGCACCUGGAUGCAGAGGAAUUUGCAAGGACCUAACCGCUUUAGAAGAGGCUUUGGACAACAACAGUACAAUAGGAGGCAAUUCAGGAAUGCUGCGCCCGGUCCCAGGAGAAGAGCAGCUGCUGCAUUAAAUGGAGUGAGCCCCUUAAAUCGCCAGGCAUCUGCUCAAGAGGGUAGCAAGAGCGACGACGUUUUUGCCAAAAGCGGUAGCAGCGGGCAGCCGGAGGCGCGGAGACGGCCACCGCCGGGCCUCAAGAGAUUCAGAGCAGCAGCUGCCAACACCCACGCCGCAGUGGGAAGCAGGCCUUUCGUGCUGAACAGGGGACCAGGCUUCCAGCAGAAGCGGAUGCAGCAGCGCUACUCCAAAGCCAACUUCCAGAGAGGGCAAAUGGAUGCAGUUGGAGAAGGGAAACAACCAAGGAUGAGAAGGUGGCAAGUGAAACCCAGCCCCGGAGCAGUCCUGACGGUUUCUGUGGCUAAUCCCCAGGCGAGCCAGACCAGCGCGCCCGGAGGCAAGCGGCCCUUCCUGAGGAGCCCCAGGCCCCCGCCGCAGGUGGCCAAGCCCCAGCCCAAGGGAGUGCUGCUGAGGUUCAACUUCCGCGCGAUGGCGAACCAGACCAGCCUGACGCUGGAUGAGAGAUUCUCUGGUCUGAGGAAUAAGCGGCGCUUUGCAGCGGCCAGGAGCGCUGGCCGGACGGUCACCAUGCCAUAGCGCCGCCCGCUCGGCGCGGGGACUGCCGGCAGCGGCCCGGCCCCGUCACGGGCAGCUCAAUAAAACUCGAUCCAUAGAUUUCCUCCGAGAUAGC
rnacentral:lncRNA from 1 species